AGCGCCGAGAGGCGGAGAAACAAACUCGGAAAACAGAUUUAAACCAAGUUUGAACCGUUGCUUCGGUUUGCCAAUACUGAGAGAAAACGUCGUUGCCGAAGAGGUCUGGAUGCUAAAACAAACGCUGGAGCUGCUUUUUCGUCGAAGAAGAGUGAAUCUGGACGCCGAACACACUUAAGGUAAGUCAAACAGUUAGCGGCUAGCGUUAGCAUUAACGUUAUCGAAGAGCGUUAGCUUUACCCGCGAGCGUUAGCAUUAGCAUUACCUUGUAAUGAUAUCUUUUAAUUCCAUUUUCAGUCGUAUAAUACGGAAGCGUAUUGCUGCCACACCAGAAAAAUAAAAACGGAUCACUAUCACCUUAUAACGUAAAAAGUUUCACGUGCUCCAGCUUGGUCAGUUUAUGGCGGAUUAUCAUGUCGAUGUGAUCAUUUGUAUCCAUUUGUGGUGGUAUUGCAUCGUUUUGCGUCGAUAGCUGGCUGUUUAUUGUCAGCUUCUUCAUGGUUGUUUUGCAUCCAAUUGUGUCUUUGUAGUUUUCUAUCUAUUCCUGGCCAUUUAACGUUUCUUUGCGGCCAUUUUGUGUUUCAGUGUGGCAGUUGAGCAUCUCAUUGCGAUCGUUUUGGGACUCAGUUUUUUUUGCCUCUGUCGUUUCUGUGUCUUUGUAGCUUUAUGGUAGUAAUCUGUCCAUAGCCAAUUAUUGAUCCCCUGUUGUGUGAAUUAUUGAUUAGAAAUUUGUUUGCGGAGACUUAAUUGACUUCAGUUUUGAGUUAAAUACAAGCUUGAAAACUAGAUUUUAACUCUGUGCUCUUCCACAAGUUUUGGGCCUCAAGAGUAGGUCACAAUGCAUGAGCUGAGAUUACUAUUAGAAAUCAUAAAAGUAUUCUAAAAAUUGCUUUUCUCUCUGAGGUCAAUAAAGUCAUACCUUAGUAACAUAAUUGAUUCAUCUUAAAACUCGAAGUGUGAUUGUCAAAGUUCUAGUGUUAAGUUUUCAGUGUUAUAUUCUUCUACACUGUUCAAGUUUCAGAGGUGAAGUAUUCUUUAUUAAUUAGGUUAUUAAGUGUUGUACUUGUGUUUUCCAGGUUUUCUUGUUCAGCUGCUGCAGCCUGGACAGAAACACCAGCUCUCACCUUACAAACCAAACAGGUGUCACCACUUUGUCCAUGAUCACAGAGAGUCUUCAUACAAUGAAGAAGGUCUUUGAAACCAGGACUGAGGCCUCCAGGAUUCAAACUUCAACCAUUACAUCACAGAGAAGAGACAGACAUGAAGACAUAUUCAGAAGGUCUUCAGCUGCUGUCGUCUUCACUUCCUGCAGAGACAAGAACAUGUAUUAAUCACAGAAACUGAUCAGUAAAUCAAAAUAUUUUUAUGUAAUUCUGAUUUUUUUUGACAGGGUUUUUUUUAUGCCCUACUAUACUGUGACAAUUUUUGUCUGUUUUUUCCCCUUACUAUACUAUGUCAUGCGGCUUAAAGACAAAAGUAGCCAUCUUACCUUUGUUUUCCACAGACACACACUUUUACACCUCUACACAGUGUGGUUUAUGUUAUGUUGUUUUAGUUGUAUUUUGCUAUUUCAAUUUAGCUGUUUCUGCUGUUCAUACUGUGUAUAAUUUUCAGAUAUUGUUAUAUUUUAUCUUGUUUUAUAUCUUGUCUUAUAUAUGUAAUGCCCUUAUGUAUUUUUGUUGUUGUGGGACUGAAUGGAUUAUCUUACUCAAAUAAAUACUUCUGAAAACUGAAUAUUUUGCUGGUCUGUUUAAUACUGUAUGAAAGUGAGUAUUUGUAGCCAGAGGUUAGGGUUAGGGUUAAGGCUUUUAGCCAGUGUUACUAGCCUCAAUUAUAAAUUUGAAUUGCAAGCUCCAAGUAGAAAAUAUUUGGCAUUUCUGCAUUACAAAAUCA